GCAGCUUUUGGGCUUCCGUUGUGUACUUCCAUCUUCGCUUAAUUUCCACCAAAAAUCACAAGGGGGAAAUGACUCGAAAUCAGUUUGAGGGAAACCUCACGAGGGUUCGAAUCCCUCCCGCUGCGCCA
rnacentral:tRNA from 1 species